CAGAGUCACUGUCGUUUUGUUGUCACCUGCUCCCAGACAGACAAAGUGGCAUUUCCUGACUGUUCCCAUCCCCGUCUGAGUUAUCUGACACCCAAAAAUACGGCUACGGGGAAGCAGGGAGACGAGGCACCACAGCCUUAUCCCGAUUUCUCCGUUGUUGGAAUAGCAUCUGCACUGGAACUUUUUGACAAAAGCUUGUUCCACUGCCCCCAAGUGGCCAAAAAUGUAUUUAUGCAGCUUUAAGUGGAGUAGCAAAUAGCUGCACCACCAGAGGCUGCACUUUCACGACCACAUUUUCAGGAUCACAAUUGUAGGACCCUAACUAGAGGAAGGGUCUUGCAAAGAAAGCGAGUGGGAUUCAUAAUGACGCGACAGGACCGCAUUACCACCAAAAAUGGAAGAAGAGCACAUCAAGCCAAGUGUGAGUAACAUUAGCUACUGAUUGUGAAUAAUGCUAUUUUUAUUUGUUUAACGUUACUGUGAAAACCGUUGGUGUCUUGAAUUGGACAGUAAAGUAACGUUAGCUGUCUAGCCAAAGUGUGAGUGAGUAAAUUAACGUAAACAUUAAUAGUCUUAAAGUUCCUAACGUUACAAUCAUCGUUAGCUUGCUUGCUAACUGUUAGCCUAAAGUAUUUGUUUAAUGAAACGUAACGUUUUAGCUAUCUUUGGUGAGCCCAACUAGGUGUAUUAUAUUACUUGUUAACUUUAUGACUAUAAUAAUUUAUUAUAGCCAGCACCUACUUCAAAAGAUAUAAAUGCCUGUCCUUAGGAUUGGUCUUCAC
rnacentral:lncRNA from 1 species